rnacentral:rRNA from 1 species
UACGUAGGGGGCUAGCGUUGUCCGGAUUUAUUGGGCGUAAAGAGCGUGUAGGCGGCCAGGUAGGUCUGCUGUGAAAACUCGAGGCUCAACCUCGAGACGUCGGCGGAAACCAUCUGGCUAGAGUCCGGAAGAGGAGAGUGGAAUUCCUGGUGUAGCGGUGAAAUGCGCAGAUAUCAGGAAGAACACCGGUGGCGAAGGCGGCAUCCUGGACCAAUUCUGACGCUGAGGAGCGAAAGCCAGGGGAGCAAACGGG